rnacentral:rRNA from 1 species
UGGGGAAUAUUGCACAAUGGGCGCAAGCCUGAUGCAGCCAUGCCGCGUGUGUGAAGAAGGCCUUCGGGUUGUAAAGCACUUUCAGCGAGGAGGAAGGUGGUGAGCUUAAUACGCUCAUCAAUUGACGUUACUCGCAGAAGAAGCACCGGCUAACUCCGUGCCAGCAGCCGCGGUAAUACGGAGGGUGCAAGCGUUAAUCGGAAUUACUGGGCGUAAAGCGCACGCAGGCGGUUUGUUAAGUCAGAUGUGAAAUCCCCGGGCUCAACCUGGGAACUGCAUUUGAAACUGGCAAGCUAGAGUCUCGUAGAGGGGGGUAGAAUUCCAGGUGUAGCGGUGAAAUGCGUAGAGAUCUGGAGGAAUACCGGUGGCGAAGGCGGCCCCCUGGACGAAGACUGACGCUCAGGUGCGAAAGCGUGGGGAGCAAAACAGGAUUAGAUACCCUGGUAGUCCAGCGCUGUAAAACGAUGUCGAUUUUGGAGGUUGUGCCCUUGAGGCGUGGCUUCCGGAGCUAACGCGUU